rnacentral:rRNA from 1 species
UACGGAGGGUGCGAGCGUUGUCCGGAAUCAUUGGGCGUAAAGCGCGCGCAGGCGGCUCUUCAAGUCAGGGGUGAAAGCCCAGAGCUCAACUCUGGAACUGCCUUUGAGACUGAAGAGCUUGAGUACGGGAGAGGUGAGUGGAAUUCCCAGUGUAGAGGUGAAAUUCGUAGAUAUUGGGAAGAACAUCGGUGGCGAAGGCGGCUCACUGGCCCGUUACUGACGCUCAGGCGCGACAGCGUGGGGAUCAAACAGG